GGCCUAACACAUGCAAGUCGAGCGGCAGCGGGAAAGUAGCUUGCUACUUUUGCCGGCGAGCGGCGGACGGGUGAGUAAUGCCUGGGAAAUUGCCCAGUCGAGGGGGAUAACAGUUGGAAACGACUGCUAAUACCGCAUACGCCCUACGGGGGAAAGCAGGGGACCUUCGGGCCUUGCGCGAUUGGAUAUGCCCAGGUGGGAUUAGCUUGUUGGUGAGGUAAUGGCUCACCAAGGCGACGAUCCCUAGCUGGUCUGAGAGGAUGAUCAGCCACACUGGAACUGAGACACGGUCCAGACUCCUACGGGAGGCAGCAGUGGGGAAUAUUGCACAAUGGGGGAAACCCUGAUGCAGCCAUGCCGCGUGUGUGAAGAAGGCCUUCGGGUUGUAAAGCACUUUCAGCGAGGAGGAAAGGUUGAUGCCUAAUACGCAUCAGCUGUGACGUUACUCGCAGAAGAAGCACCGGCUAACUCCGUG
rnacentral:rRNA from 1 species